rnacentral:rRNA from 1 species
AAAAUUUUAAAGGUCGAACAGACCUAAUUUUUAAGUUACUGCACCAAAAAUUAAUUUUAAUCCAACAUCGAGGUCGCAAAAUCUUCUUUAAAUAAGAACUUCUAAGAAAAAUUACG